rnacentral:piRNA from 1 species
GUGCUGAAUAACCCUUCCUUAAUGUCU